rnacentral:rRNA from 1 species
GAUGAACGCUGGCGGCGUGCCUAAUACAUGCAAGUCGAGCGAACAGACGAGAUUGCUUGCACUCUCUGACGUUAGCGGCGGACGGGUGAGUAACACGUGGGUAACCUACCUAUAAGACUGGGAUAACUUCGGGAAACCGGAGCUAAUACCGGAUAAUAUUUAGCUUCGCAUGAAGCAAUAGUGAAAGACGGUUCUGCUGUCUCUUAUAGAUGGACCCGCGGUGUAUUAGCUAGUUGGUGAGGUAACGGCUCACCAAGGCAACGAUACAUAGCCGACCUGAGAGGGUGAGCGGCCACACUGGGACUGAGACACGGCCCAGACUCCUACGGGAGGCAGCAGUAGGGAAUCUUCAGCAAUGGACGAAAGUCUGACGGAGCAAUGCCGCGUGAGUGAAGAAGGUUUUCGGAUCGUAAAACUCUGUUGUAAGGGAAGAACAAGUACGUUAGUAACUGAACGUACCUUGACGGUACCUGACCAGAAAGCCACGGCUAACUACGUG